GGCUUCAGAUCGUCCUUCUCAAGGAGCUGAGGCUAGCCAUUAAGGAUCUGGGGUGAAGGUCAUGUCAUCUCUUCUCGUGGCUCUAAUGCCCACUGCUUCCACUGCUGAUAUUUUGAGCUCUUUGAUCUGAGCAAGAACCAUGGGAAGGUGAAGUUUACUUCCUUGGUUUGACUGACUUAUCCAUGCAUCUUAUGACACAUUGAACUUUAGGAAUUAAACUUUGGAAGUUCGGUAAUGAUAUGUUAUAAUAAUUAUUUGAGUGAUUCCAUAGUUUACUUUUCUGUAGCAUAGGGCUAAAUGUUGUAAUCCUCAGCAGCUCUCCUAAAAUGAUUCAGACCACUGAGGCUUGCCACAUAUACUAAAUGGAACAUGACUGAUUUUCUUGCAUUUAAUCCGAUGCACACCCUUAAUACUUCAUGCAAUUUCCUACAAUAAAAUCCAAUUAGGCUCCUACUUCCUAGCGCACACCAAUCUGUACUCUAUUAUGAGUUUGCAAUUUAAUUAGUUUACAGGAAUGUUGCACCAGAAAACAUUAAUCUGUCUAUGAUGAAGUAUAGAUUAACUAGGAUUUUAUCAUCUUGCGUGAAGCUUCCCCUCCUCCGAUGGUUGGAUGUGUGCAGCAGCGAUGUUCUGCUCAAGGAGAGUCUCUGGCGGCUCGGCGGGGAUGCGCUGACCCUCUAUACGUCAGCAUUUUCUGGUGGCAUCCACCCCAUCCUGUGAUGGUGUGGCGCCUUCGAUCCAGGAAAGGAGGUAGUGGCCUUCUUCGGUGGUGUGUUGGAUGUGCCGUGCCGGGGCCCAUAGCUGCUUGGCGACGGCAUGCCCCGCUGGUGUCAGUCCCUCUCUCCUUCGAGCUGGCGCGAUUUUGUUCCUGCUGCAGCACUCCAUGAGGACCUCGACGUUUUCGGCUCCUCUCUCUAUUUCAGUCUACAGACUACAUCAAUUAAGGCUCAACUGUCUUAUGUCUCUACUUCGUAGAUUGUAUACAUGCACAAGCUCAAUAUCGGUUGCAAGAGGUUGGAUGCAGAUGCAACACAUUCAUGUAAUUAUGUUGCUCCUGCACUGUGUUUAUGCACAUUUUUUAGGUGAUUGUUCAUUAUUUAGUCAACUUCCUUAUGUUUGUAAUUUGUGUGAUUGUGCACAUUUUUUAGGUGAUUGUUUAUACCUUUUAAUUUGUGUAAAGUUCAUGUUUGGAAUGACUAAUGAGGUGGCACUCUUGAAAAAUGAGAAAUUAUGCAGUAUAUCCACUUUCUUCUGUUUAUUUUAAGUAUUAUUGUGGGUCUGCAGUAUGAAUCACUACACGCUGGAGAAGUUCCUAGAGGCGAUCAGGAGCAGAGGCAUCAAGAUAUGCCCUGGGUGCAAUGCCUCGCAGGCUGUAGCACCUGCCCAGUUAUGCAUAUGUCGGCAAGACAAGUUUUGCCUGCUUUGCUUCAUAUCAGUCUCUUCUCAUCGCGGCCAGAGCUUGGAAGCAAUUCAACUAGGCACCAUGAUGCUGGAUGGAAGUACAACUUCUUGUCGGAAGGUUCUUAUAUAUGGUCUCUAGAAACACUCGCACACAGACUCUCUGCUCUUGUUUGCCCGCCGCCGCCGCUCCAUGCCUUCGCCGCCGCCCUCGCACAUCAAAGCCGCCGCCCUCCAUCGGACGAUCCACUUCAGGAGACGCCGCCGACCCCGUUGAGGACCAGCCGUCGAUCACGUCCAGGAUCCAACGCCGAUCCCCUUCAGGAGCCGCACGCCACCGCAGAUCCAUCCCCUGAAAAAUCGGGACUCUUGAGAUGGGCGAUCGAGAGGGAUCAAAAGGAGUAACUUUCACCUGCGGCCCCAAGGGCCUUUACACUGCCGCUGAGAGCCGCGCGCGGGUGGUGCGCUGUGAGCGGCCGAUGGCCGCCGCUUUAGUAGCCCGCCAGGAGCCGUCGUCGCGCAUUGGCUGUGUGCUGACUCGAACCGAGGAGCCGGCCAUGGCUAGCGUGGCCGUGGGAACUGCCGAGCGAGCGAACGCGCGUGUGCCUGAGGACGGCCGCUGCGUGCGCUGCAAUGGCGAGAGCGAAAGGAGGAAGAGGAGACCCCUGGUGGCACGGACAUCCAACGACCCGGACAUCGUCCUCCCAUGACGUCCUCCUCCAAGCCCGAAUCCAGUGCCUCCUCAAGAAAUGGAGAAGCGCCAUGGUUGGCUGUUGCUUGAGGAAAUGAGGAGAUGCAUAUGUCGGCAAUGUUGCUGGAGCAAGGAACACUUCCAUAUUCUAUGAGGCCGAUGCCAAGGAAGGCGAGGGUCCUGCGACUGGCUACUGCUAGGGAUAGCAGGCAGUAGGGAAGUUUCUUUCUGAUUCGAAGUGUGCAGAUUAUAUUGGGACAACUCGCUUUCUGUGAGCAACCAUCUGAAUGCUAAACUGUCAUAAAUGGCUGUGAACAGACCGGAUAUGAUUCGUACAUCAGGUAAAUAGCAUGUACCUCUUUUGAUUUCACAUGUCCAGAGAGGACUUGCCAUAUGAUGUUUGUCCCAUCGGCAACAGUGAUACUAUGGAAUUCAGAAAUAAUGUGCUUGAGAAUUUUUCAGACUAAUGGUAGUGCAGAUUUCAAUUAGUGAUUGCAGAGUUCUAAAAUAUGUUGACCAAAUUGUUUCUUCGGAACUUGGUUUAGCCCAAGGCUCUCAAGAAAAUGGGUUGUGUAUUUUAAGUAAUUCUUAUUUUGGAAACAUAUAGUGGAAGCUGCCAGUCUUAUCUCUCUUUGAGUUCUCCUAAAGGAAUUCUUUGGAUAAUUUCUUCUUACACUAGAUUUUGACAUGUUGACACUCAAGGGAGGGAAGAGGAGAGAAACAUUGACAUUUUUCAUGCUUUGGACCAACAUUUAUAUCCAUAGCAUUUUUUUCCGUGGCAACGCAUGAGUGUGGUACCGUCGUGGUAGAUCCCGGAUGAAAGGUGGGUCCAGUAUAGAACUAGGAGGUACUAGCACUAAGAUGGGAAGGUGGUUGCCGCCCUUGCACCUUAUUGUGGAUCAAAUACGGCGGUGUCGAUCACUGGCUCACUUGGAACAUGAGUUAGUGGAUUUUGUGAUAAGAGUGAGGGUUGAGAUGAGUGGGAUGGGGGUUCGGGUUAGUCUGUUCAGUUACGGCUGACUGAGCAGAAUAAUUUUUCUACUUCACAAAAUGUGGUAAAUUGCGCAUUAAAGAUAGCUUUGCAGCAAAUUGUAUGAGCAAGCGGUUCAUAUAUUUUUUCAUCAAGUCAUACAAUUUUUUAGUUUUGAUAGAAGGGUAAAUGCAUUUGUUAGUUUCUUCAAGAGUUAAUAACAGAAAUGGUGGUGUAUCUGUUGCAUGUCCAACAAAAGACAUCAUAUUUUUGUUUCGUGGUAAUGC